rnacentral:rRNA from 1 species
CCUACGGGGGGCAGCAGUGGGGAAUAUUGGACAAUGGGGGGAACCCUGAUCCAGCCAUGCCGCGUGUGUGAAGAAGGCCCUCGGGUUGUAAAGCACUUUCAGUGAGGAAGAACGCCUGGUGGUUAAUACCCAUCAGGAAAGACAUCACUCACAGAAGAAGCACCGGCUAACUCCGUGCCAGCAGCCGCGGUAAUACGGAGGGUGCGAGCGUUAAUCGGAAUUACUGGGCGUAAAGCGCGCGUAGGUGGCUUGAUAAGCCGGUUGUGAAAGCCCCGGGCUCAACCUGGGAACGGCAUCCGGAACUGUCAAGCUAGAGUGCAGGAGAGGAAAGUAGAAUUCCCGGUGUAGCGGUGAAAUGCGUAGAGAUCGGGAGGAACACCAGUGGCGAAGGCGGCCUUCUGGACUGACACUGACACUGAGGUGCGAAAGCGUGGGUAGCAAACAGGAUUAGAUACCCUAGUAGUC